rnacentral:rRNA from 1 species
UACGUAGGGUGCAAGCGUUGUCCGGAAUUAUUGGGCGUAAAGAGCUCGUAGGCGGUCUGUCGCGUCGGCUGUGAAAACUCGGGGCUCAACCUCGAGACGCCGGUGGAAACCAUCAGGCUAGAGUCCGGAAGAGGAGAGUGGAAUUCCUGGUGUAGCGGUGAAAUGCGUAGAUAUCAGGAGGAACACCGGUGGUGUAGACGGCUUCUGGACCGUAACUGACGCUGAGACACGAAAGCGUGGGUAGCAAACAGG